UCCUGCCGAUCAGGCAGGCCUUUGAAGUAAGGUCGUAAUAUCAGUCCAGAAAAAUUUGUUAGUAAAAGUCGCACAUAGUCAACUAAAUUUCCUACCCAGGCUUGUGAUCUCUGACGGGUUUCAGUCAGCCAGAAUCAAAGAUGUGUAGCCCCUGCUGUGGACCUUGCUGCUCGCCAUGCUGCAAUGACUGCUGCAGCCCCUGCUGCAGUCCCUGCUGUAGUCCCUGCUGCAGUCCUUGCUGCAGUCCCUGCUGCGGUCCCUGCUGCGGUCCAUGCUGCGGUCCCUGCUGCGGCCCUUGCUGCGGUCCGUGUUGCGGCCCCUGUUGCGGUCCCUGCUGCUGCGGUCCAUGCAAUAAGUGCUGCGGACCCUGCUGCGGCCCGUGCUGCGGCCCCUGCUGUAGCCCCUGCUGCAAUCCCUGCUGCGGCCCAUGUUGCAGCCCUUGUUGCACACCCUGCUGCAGCCCGUGUUGCAGUCCUUGCUGCAACCCCUGCUGCAGCCCGUGUGGUGGGCCCAAGUGCAAGUGAUCCGCGCAACCAAGAUGGGAUCGGAAAGAGCAAACCCGAGGUAGGAGGCGAACACAAACGUCACCACAAGUUCGCAGUACCCGUUAGAGAAGCAUCCUAGCCCAAAUGUAGACACCAACUGAGGUAAUCAAAUACAAGAAAAUUGGACAGCAA